rnacentral:lncRNA from 1 species
UCAAAAUAAAUUACCUAAUUAGCUGGGGAUGGUGAUGCAUGCCUGUAGGCCCAGCUACACGGAAGGCUGAGACAGGAGGAUUGAGCCCAGGAGUUCAAGGCUGCAGUGAGCUCUGAUCACCACUGCAUUCCAGCCUGGGUGACAGAGCAAGACCCUGUCUGAAAAAAUGAAAACUGAUGGACAAGAAGAGAAAGAAAUUUCAGAGCUUCCAAGACCAAAAACUUAAAAUAAGUAAAGAAGAGAGUAAAAUUCUUAAAAAAGGCUCAGAAAGAUGGAUUUUUGCAUGAGACGCUUCUGGACAGGUAGCUAUUUAUUUACUUAUUUUCACUAUUUUCAGUAGCCAAUAGAAAUGGCAUGUAGAAAACCUAUAUUCUCUUAAAUUACUGUAGUUUUCACAUUUUUGUCUUUAUUUCUAAUUUAUGAGUGUGGCAAUAUUACCUAGAGAGGACAUCAUGAGUUUGGGAAAAGACUGUCAAGAAAGAAUAUCUAAAAAUUAUAACCGAUUCUAAGUAUAUAUUUUAAGAAAUUCAGGUUUGACUGUAUCUACUUCAUAAAUUUAUCAUUAUAUUUUUAUAACUAUUAGAACCAGAGUUAGAAAGAAGCAGUUUGACUAAUAUAAAAAUUAUGUGGAUUCUGUUAGAGUAGUUCAGGUUCCUUAAAAUAAGCAUAGAUCAACUAAAAAACUAAGUAUAAAAGCUAAACAAGUGAAAUUGAAGCAGUUUUAUUGUAAGAUUUGGAAGAGUGCAGGAUGUUUAUCAUAGCACAUUAUUAAUAUUUAUUACUCUUCCUAUGUAGAUAAGUAAUGUCCUAGAUUUACAACAUAGAAAAACAGGUAGAGACGUUUAGCUGUGAGUGUACAAGUAUAAAUCAAUUAAGUGCCAGAUUUUGAUAAUCACCAGCUGCUCAUUCAAGUCCUAUGUUGCAAAGUUAGUCUUACGCUUUUUUUACAUUACUUGAUAAAGGCAAUGUUUAAUUACAUAUUUCCUAUUAACUAGCUGGUAGAGUUCAUACCUAAAGUCAGUAAAUAAUGUUAAGAAUUUUUUCCAGCUGAGCAAAUGAGUAUGUAUCUAGUUGUAAGAAAUCAAGAAGAGGAUAUAAAAUAUAAUCAGGAUGUGGACUCUAAAACGAAAUAACCUCUAUGUCCUGUAACUUUUAUCACUCGUAAUAAUACAGCAUUCUCACCCUAUUAAAUGGAAAUUUAAAGCACCUUUAAAUUCCAGAAUAAUUAAAAUUGCUAUUUGGAUUGAAAAAGCCCUUAGGCAACAUUUAUUGAAUAUUAGGAAAUAACUUUUAUAAGAUUAGAAUCCAUUUUUUAUAGAAACAAAAUUUGAAAGUAUACAUAUUUUAAUAUAAGUGUUGUGGUAAUACAGUAACCAAAAUUGAACACACAGUUUUAAAGCUUUUUAUAUUUAGUAGCAGUUGAAUAUAUAUGCCAUGUUUUACAUAGAUUAAUUUUACUAUUUUUCUUUAUUUAAACAAGAGAACCAAAUUGAAAGCCAACAGAUACUGCAAAUGACUGGAAUUUUUGUUUCUGCCUUAUCUUUUUGUGUUUUUUUUCUGAAUAAAAUAUUCAGAGGAAAUGCUUUUACAGAGUUCUUGAGUUGUUGUGAAAUUAUUAUUUAGCUAGUACCUAGUUUAACCAGGAUUAAACAAGUUUAAUCAGGAUUCUUCAUGGAUGUACUUUUUAGCUAACUACAGUUUUUCACAUGGAAAUGAAACUUACAGUUCACACUUAACAUACCACAGAAUUUUUUUCUGGAUUUCCUGUCCUGAAGCAUGAAGUGUAGUAGAAACCAAUUCUUCCUGCGCUACUUGUGGAAUCUUUCUUACUGGAUCAUAAUCUUACUUACUUUAUACAAUAGAUGCUUAAUCAGUGCCUUUAAUAGGAAGUUAGAAACUCCCAAUCCAAUCAACAAGGCUUUGAUUCUACCUCCUAAGUAGUAUCCAGAUCGCAGACAAUCCAAAUAUCAGAACUAGGGGGCCGGGCAGAGAGGACAAAUCAUCUAUUAGGGAGUGGGACAGAAAGUAGGAACAUUACAAAGGAGCAAGUAGUCUCAGAACAGAGGGGAGAGUAGUACUGGGAAAACUCCCUACUGAGGACAGGUUUGCCACAGUGGAUAUGUAUGUGAUGCUUUUGUCCUCGUGGGCUGGAAUGGAAGCUGAUAAAGUUCAGACGCUACGUGUUGCUUAGGUCUGCUUUGUUGAAGCCUGUCUUUUUCAGAGUUCCUAAACACAAUAUUCCCGUGGCAUCUAAUCCCAGUGAGUGCUCCAAAUCCAGGCUGUGUAUCAGAUGCCACGGGAAAUUCUGCCUCAGGACUGAGGUUGGUUCAAGCUUCUGGAUGAUGUCAAAAGUCCACGUUGUGUGCUGGCCUAACUUGAAAGACCCUAUCUAGUUCUAGCCUUUAAAUUCCUUCUGUCACCAAAUCUGGAGUUACAUGGCAUCUGUACAAGCUAAGUAGCCGAGGCAUGGGAUCAGCCCUAUAAAGGAGCUUCUGGAGCUUUUUUUGUAGGUCUAGCUUCAACUUGGCACUCCAGUUCCAAUAGCUGGACUUUCUCUCAUCGUGUGUGCUGAUCCUUGGAUUGGGAACAAAGUAACCACUCUGAUCCCUCAAAGCAGUGGUUCCUGUUCCCAACUGGUGACUAUUUUGCCUCCCAGGGAACAUUUUUGGUUUUCCCAACUGGAAUAAGGUGUUAGAGAGUAGAGGCUAGGGAUGCUGUGAAGCAUGUUGCAGAAUCCUCUUCCGCCCAGAAUGCUAACAGUGCCAAGGUUAUGGAGCCUUCCCACCCAAGGGCUUGGCCUAUUUCUUGCUUUUGCCAGCUCCCUAACCCUUAAACACAACAGUUCAAAUCUAUAUGCAUAAGCAUCUCCUAGGGACCUGCACGUUUCCAAUAUCGACUACUGAGACCCAUCCGUAGAGAUGCAGGCUUAGGAGGUCUAGGAUUGGGCUCAAAAUUUGCAUUUUAACAAGUACUCUAGGUCAUUCUGAAGCAAGUGAUACAAACCACAGAAUGAGGAACACGCCUUCAGGAGACUGAAUCUUGCUUCCCAACACUAGCUUGGUAUCUGAGACCAUCUGCCUGCUGACUGGCUUUCCUGGCACAAACAUUCCGCAUGUAGGCACAGUGUAUUCCUGGACUCCAUGUCAACCCGUUCACCCUUAUGUUCCCUUGGUUCCUCUCCCCAGUCCAGCGAGCAGAACUGAUUACAGAUCUUGACAACAGAAGAUACAGAUUUAAAAUAACUUGCCUGUUCCCGUGGACUUUAUCCACUAGUGGAGGAGGACAAGUGGACAAGGGGAGAGGGUAGGUGGGGGCUCCUUCCCUAUUCCUCCCAUUCCACUUUAUACAAACCCCAGCUAGACCACUGGGAGAGCAACGGAGGUUAAGAAUGACUGCAUCUAAAUAUUGUCAUCUAGUCCACUCUUCUUCCAUCUUGUACACAAGAAUAUCAUGAGUUUUGCUUAAAGCACUACUGAAACCAAGAUAAACUCUGGCUUGGCAUGCCUCUGACAGAUCAGUCUAGUAAUCUUAUCAAAACCAAGACUACCUAAAAGCACUAACCAAAGGAAAGCUCCCUCACCCCAACCUAUGACUGCUCACAUUUUUCAGAUUGAAUCAUUUCAAUUGUAUUUUAAGGUUCAUUGACUCUUCACCACCUCCAAGCUGCUCCUGAACACAACUGAUUGUUAUUUUUUAAUUCUGAAAACUUUCUCACUUCUAGAAUUUCCACUUGAGCCUUUGUUAUUAUUGUAGUUUCUUCUUCUCUGCUGUGAUUUCCUAUCCAUUUAUUUUAUGGGUUUUUGGGGUUUUGAUUUUAGUAAGAAUUACAAUAACUACUUUAAAAAUCCACACUAAUUCCAACAUCUGGGUCAUCGAGGUCAGUCUCUAUUGAUUGCCUUUUUCUUUGAAUAUGUUUCUUUAUAAGUUUGAUAUAAUGGGAUUGAAUUCUGAAUAUUGUAAAACUAGAUUUUGUUUUGUUCCUCUGAAAAUUUUGAUAAUUUUAUGUUGUAUUUGUUGUAUUUUGUUUGAUUGUUUUUUUCUAUUGUAUACUUUACAAUAUAUUUUCCUCCAAUGGUUUUAACGUUUCUAUUUCUCAAAAUAUUUAUGUUAAAAAUUAUACAAAGUAACUUGGUGCAGUGGCUCCCAUCUGUAAUCCCAGAACUUUUAGAGGCCAAGGCAGGAGGGUCACUUGAGCCCAGGAGUUGGAA